AUCGUUGGACGGUCCCUUGAGCGCUUCGCAAGGCAGGUGUUGGCCAACUUAGCAAUUUCUCUAGUUCCCUGCCUAGAGUAACGGCCUUCGAGUCUUGUAUCUAUAAUCUUGUUGAACUGCUUACUUCCAACAGGAUACUGCUUUACCCAUUCCAGCAGUUUCUGCUCAUUCUUGGGGCGGUUCUUUUCCAUAGAACGUCGUCCGGUGAGGAUCUCAUAG
rnacentral:rRNA from 1 species